CGCCUAAGGAGGGGCUCGCGUCUGAUUAGCUAGUUGGUGAGGUAAUAGCUUACCAAGGCGAUGAUCAGUAGCUGGUCCGAGAGGAUGAUCAGCCACACUGGGACUGAGACACGGCCCAGACUCCUACGGGAGGCAGCAGUGGGGAAUUUUCCGCAAUGGGCGAAAGCCUGACGGAGCAAUGCCGCGUGGAGGUGGAAGGCCUACGGGUCGUCAACUUCUUUUCUCGGAGAAGAAACAAUGACGGUAUCUGAGGAAUAAGCAUUGGCUAACUCUGUG
rnacentral:rRNA from 1 species